rnacentral:rRNA from 1 species
UCUGGCUCUCGGGCCGAGUUGUAAUUUGUAGAGGAUGCUUUUGGCGCGGCGCCUUCUGAGUUCCCUGGAACGGGACGCCAUAGAGGGUGAGAGCCCCGUAGAGUUGGACGCCUAGCCUCUGUAAAGCUCCUUCGACGAGUCGAGUAGUUUGGGAAUGCUGCUCAAAAUGGGAGGUAAAUUUCUUCUAAAGCUAAAUACCGGCUGGAGACCGAUAGCGCACAAGUAGAGUGAUCGAAAGAUGAAAAGCACUUUGAAAAGAGGGUUAAACAGCACGUGAAAUUGUUGAAAGGGAAGCGCUUGUGACCAGACUUGUGCCUUGCCAAUCAUCCGGCGUUCUCGCCGGUGCACUUGGCUUGGCCCAGGCCAGCAUCAGUUUUCCCAGGGGGAGAAAAGCGCCGGGAACGUAGCUCCCUCGGGAGUGUUAUAGCCCGGCGCACAAUACCUCUGGGUGGACUGAGGACCGCGCAUUGCAAGGAUGCUGGCGUAAUGGUCAUCAGCGACCCGUCUU